rnacentral:rRNA from 1 species
AUUGAACGCUGGCGGCAGGCCUAACACAUGCAAGUCGAGCGGAGCGGCGGACGGGUGAGUAAUGCCUAGGCAUCUGCCUGGUAGUGGGGGAUAACGUCCGGAAACGGGCGCUAAUACCGCAUACUCUCAGAUGAGCCUAGGGCGGAUUAGCUAGUUGGUGGGGUAAAGGCCUACCAAGGCGACGAUCCGUAACUGGUCGGAGAGGAUGAUAAGUCACACGGGAACUGAGACACGGUCCAGACGCCUAAGGGAGGAAGCAGUGGGGAAUAGGGUAAAAUGGGCGAAAGCCGGAUCCAGCCAUGCCGCGUGUGUGAAGAAGGGCGUCGGAUUGUAAAGCACUUUAAGUUGGGAGGCGUUACCAACAGAAUAAGCACCGGCUAACUACGUGCCAGCAGCCGCGGUAAUUC